rnacentral:rRNA from 1 species
GAUGAACGCUGGCGGCGUGCCUAAUACAUGCAAGUCGAGCGAACAGACGAGGAGCUUGCUCCUCUGACGUUAGCGGCGGACGGGUGAGUAACACGUGGAUAACCUACCUAUAAGACUGGGAUAACUUCGGGAAACCGGAUCUAAUACCGGAUAAUAUAUUGAACCGCAUGGUUCAAUAGUGAAAGACGGUUUUGCUGUCACUUAUAGAUGGAUCCGCGCCGCAUUAGCUAGUUGGUAAGGUAACGGCUUACCAAGGCAACGAUGCGUAGCCGACCUGAGAGGGUGAUCGGCCACACUGGAACUGAGACACGGUCCAGACUCCUACGGGAGGCAGCAGUAGGGAAUAUUCCGCAAUGGGCGAAAGCUUGACGGAGCAACGCCGCGUGAGUGAUGAAGGUCUUCGGAUCGUAAAACUCUGUUAUUAGGGAAGAACAAAUGUGUAAGUAACUAUGCACGUCUUGACGGUACCAAAACAGAAAGCCACGGCUAACUACGUG